AAAGCCUCGGGAUGACUUGUGGAUAGGGGUGAAAGGCCAAUCAAACUUCGUGAUAGCUGGUUCUCUCCGAAAUAUAUUUAGGUAUAGCGUUGUGUCGUAAUAUAAGGGGGUAGAGCACUGAAUGGGCUAGGGCAUACACCAAUGUACCAAACCCUAUCAAACUCCGAAUACCUUAUAUGUAAUCACAGCAGUCAGGCGGCGAGUGAUAAAAUCCGUCGUCAAGAGGGAAACAACCCAGACUACCAGCUAAGGUCCCUAAAUCUUACUUAAGUGGAAAACGAUGUGAAGUUACUUAAACAACCAGGAGGUUGGCUUAGAAGCAGCCAUCCUUUAAAGAAAGCGUAAUAGCUCACUGGUCUAGUGAUUUUGCGCGGAAAAUAUAACGGGGCUAAAGUAA
rnacentral:rRNA from 1 species